rnacentral:lncRNA from 1 species
GAAUUGAAAUGCACUUUGCUGUCAUAUGUAACAAAUUAGAACAAAUAAAUACACUUUAAAAAAGAAAAGAAAAAAAGGGGGAGAGAGGCAAGAAUGAGUCAAAGAUAGGAAGCAUAAUUCUUAAGACGAGCUUUCCCCUCUUACCUGGAAAUCAGGGUGGCUACAAAAUCUAGUGUGAAUUGGCUCAGAUUUUCAAAAUCUUCCUUUUAAAAGCAUCUCCAUAAAUGGGAUGGAUAUAGAAUGGUAUCAGAAAAAUGCAUUUAUCUCUAAUGGGUCCAAACUGAAAUUCGGUAUAAAAAUGAAAAUUUAAAUGCACCAGUAAAGUGACACUCCUUUGUGACUAGGAGUACAAAGAAAACAGCCUAUCAAUACCAACUUUAGGUACUUUUUUUCUCAUUUAUAUUAUGUGACUUAAAACAUUUUUCAGAUGUGCAUAUAGACCUGGGAGUGCAGCUCAGGGUAGAGGGAGUACCUUGGCAUGCGCAAGGACCCAGUUUCAAUCCCUAGCACUGCAAAAAAAAUAAAGUGUAUGUAGAUCGUUUGAGUUAAUAAACUGAGUGUAGAUUAAG